AUGAAUGAAUGAAUGAAUGCCCCCCUAACAUAUACAGUGGCUAUACUGUUAACUUAAACUCUGGAUGAGUCCAUUUUUGAAUUGUCCCCCUUAACAAUCUAAUUUCCCCCCUAUGGGGCGUGGGCCCCACGUUGGGAAACACUAUUAUAGACAAAUUGUAUUAAAACGAAAGUAAUUUCUUAUGGUCUUCGUGCAAUUUGGUUAAACCAGUGCGAUCUGUUCUCUCAUUAAACGUCCAAAAAACUAGUUAGUUAAUCGAUCUAUAUAACUGACAUAUGUCAUACGCUCCAUACGUUUAAGUUGCAUUAUUCUUUGAAAUUAAUCAUUUUUAAUAUUUUAUUUUAAUAGAAGGGCCUAUCCCGUAUACGUUACUUAAUGUAAAUUUAGAAAACUGUAGUAAACCUGGAAGACAUUUUUUAAUAAACUUUUCAUACGACGGAACUUACGAAUAUAUUCAUUUAAAGCUUUUAAUUUACGGACAGUUCACUAAUACUUUUGACCUACCGAUAUUUAUCGACAAGAACUCACGUCUCCAUUAUAUGAUUGAAAAACUUGCUGAAAACUAUUAUUCCGUCUUUUGCAUCUUUCUUAUGAAGCACGAAGACAAGAAUUCGAUGAUAACUAUUCAGUUCAAGUAUCUUACAAAUAAUAUAAGGAUAUGCGACGUUGAACUUCUGUCAAGAAAAGGCAAUAGUAUUUUGAAUGAACUAGAAAUGAAUCCGAUAUCGGAGGAACAACUUGGAGAACGGCUACAAAAUACGGAAUCGGAUAUGUUUACUGCUGAACCGUGGAAUAGACAAUUAUACAAGAAGAAAUCAAAUCCAUUGCUGAAUGCUGCAACCCGAAUAAAGA